AUAUUAUGAAAAAUCAACUAAAUCACAGAAAACUUAAUGACCAAUUGAUAAACUAUCGAUCAUCAAGUCAUAAAAUACACAAUAUAUUAUAUUUUCAUAUAUUACAACGUUACGUGAUCUACCAAAUUACAAUAACAAUGACUUCUCUUUAAGGACCAAACUUAUUAUUUUCAAUGUCAAGAUUUAAGCAGUUCCUCGUAAAUACUUUAUAUUUUUUUUUUCCCUCUUGACCGAUAAGAAUUAUAUACUCAUUUUAAAUUAUUAUUUCAUAUUUUUUUUUUUUUUUUUACAACAUAAUACAAUUCCAUUAAUUUUCAGAAGUAUAAAAAUUGUUCAGAUCAGAUUAUGGUUGUAUUCAACAACGAGUGAACUAUUUUUCUUGGAUUUUCAAUGUAUAUAUUCAAUUAAUAAAUGAAUAAAGCGCCUAAUUUAUAAGCAAAAUUUUAACAAUGACUAAUGUGCUAAUGAUUUAGGAUAUAUCGGCUGUCAGUUACAGCAACUUUCAUGUUUUAAAAAAGGUAUACAUAAGGUAAUUUAUAAUAAUUGCUUUAUUGAUUAUCAUCAUAUGAUCUGUUAUUACACGCAUAGAUCAAUUGGCUACAAAAUAUUUGACAACGGAAAAUUAUUAAGAUCCGGCCACCGAGAGAACAGGGCGGGUGGCUUCCAUAACUGUUUUUUUUUACAUGCAUUCCCAUCAUUAUAUCAGCUAUCUAAACAAAGCUUUGUGUGUAUUACUACCAUUUGAAAAUUGUAUUUAUGUAAGUAGGAUUUUCUGCAGUUACUGUAUUAAAAUCAAAAUAUCGGUCAAAACUUAAUGUAGAAAAAGAAAUGCGUGUGACUGUUACAACAUUGCUAACUAACUUUUAAGUUCAAAUUCAGACAAAAAAGAGUAUUUAAUGAAACAUUUUUUCAGAGACCCUACUAGGAAAAAGCUUUUGAUGGUUAAAAUAGUAAUAAGAAACAAAUGGACACCUUUACAACACUUUUGUAUAUGUGAGGGAAGUUCUAACAUUAAAAACUCAUCAUAAAGUAAUAUUAUUUGGAUAGUUAUAAUUUUACUACUUAUAGCAAACAAAUUAUCAAUGUUUAAUUAAAAAUACAAUGUAUUAGUUAAAAAAAACGAAAUUAUAGAUACAUACUAUAUAUAUUAAUAUAUAGUGAUAUAUACAGCGAUGUUGAUCACUGUUAUGAUGUCUUUGAUAAAAUAAUUUAAAAAACAAUUGAUAAAUCUACAACUCGUAUAUUAUUAAAAUCCAAAAAUAAACGCUUAAAAGAAUGGUUGGCUAAUGGUUUAUUAACCACAGCCCACCGAAAACAGUUUCUCUCAAUGAAAUGCAAAAAAAUCCAAAUAAUUUAUCGUUAGCUUUGCACUAUAAAAAAUACAAGAAUAACCACAAAAACUAUAAUGCUAGUUCAGACCCAGCGCUAGAGUUGGAAUUCUAGGUGUGCUGAGGGUCAUUGAUGAAAUGAUGGAUCGGAUGCUGGGUAACAUGCAAACUAAAAUAGUCUGAAAACUAAAUUUAAUUUUUAUGAACAAAACUUCAGACAUGUAAGUUCUAAUCCAAAAAAUGUCCAAAAUGAUAUGAAAAUUAAUAAGUGAAAUUACCGGUUCUAAAUUGAGUUCAAAUGAUGAUAUUAUUAAACUAAAAAACUAAAAAAAAAUAAUGACUGUGAAAUAAAUGCAAAAAAUGAUCCAAUAUCUGCAUCCAAUAAGUUAAAUAGUUUCUUUAUAAAUAUCGCAAAGAAUAGUUGAAAUAAACCAAUCAUUUCAGGAAUAAACCAUGUUCAUAAAAACGUUUCAUUUAAUGAUGUGUUUCUAAAAAAAAUUGAAUCGUCGGACUUACUUAAUAUUAUUAAUAGCUUUAAAGAUGAUACAGCUGCAGGUUUGGAUAAGGUACCCGUUAAAAUUUUAAAACGUAUUAAUAAAUUUGUGGUGCAUACUCUUGCCUAUAUAUCUAACUUAAGUAUUGUUCAAAAUAUUUUUCCUGAAACCUUAAAAGUAGCAGAUGUUAAACCCUUAUUUAAAGGUGGUAAUACAUCAAGUAUGAACAAUUAUAGGCUGAUAUCCAUGUUAAGCAAUUUUUCAAAAAUACUUGAAAAAAUUAUCAAAGCUAGGUUGAUAGAAUUUUUAGAAAAAUUUAAAUUAUUAUCAGAAAACCAGUUUGGUUUUGGACCAGGUUUAAGCACUGAUAAUGUUUUUUAUAAAGUUGCUCAAUUUUUAUAUAACAAUUUAGAUAACAGCAAUAAAUUAAUAGCAAUUUUUUUAGAUCUAGCUAAGGCUUUUGAUUUUGUGAACCAUGCAAUUUUAUUAAAUAUGUUACAGAGUUUUGGAAUUAAUAACUUGAGCCUAAACUGGUUUAAAAGUUACUUACAUAAUAGAAGGCAGACAGUUAAAACCAAUGGAGUAAAUGGUAGCAUAUAUGCAAUUAAAAAUAAUGUUGUACCACAAGGUAGUGUAUUGGGUCAGAUACUAUUUAUUUAUAUUAUUUGUUAACAAAAUUUGUGAUAUUAAUUUUGAUGGGGAAAUAGUUACCUAUACUGAUGGCACUUGUCUUCUAUUCUCUCAUAAAUCAUGGGAUUGUGUUUAUGAGAAAGCCUGCAGAGGUUUCAGUCUGAUAAUAAAAAGUUUAAAUGUUAGAAAUCUAUCUUUAAAUGUUGAUGAAACUGUUUUUAUGUCAUUCUCUAUUAAUAAAACAUCUUUUAACUACAACACCUUAGCAAUUCAUGACUGCAUAAAAAAAAAAAAAUUUGUAAUCCACAAAACUGCAUAAUGAUUAAAAUAAUUGAAAAAAUUUGAUACUUAAGUGUUAUAUUUGAUAUUAACUUUAGAUGGAAUUUUCAUAUAAACAAUUUAUUAGGGAAGCUACGUUUCAUUACUUUUAAAAUGGCUAAACUUAAAAACUUAGUACCAAAACAAACAAUAGAAAUAGUUUACUUUGCACUAUCAAUCAAACUUUCAAUAUGGCAUAUUAGUAUGGGGAGGCCUUCGAGAUAACAUCUUAAAAGCAUUAGUAAUUAAUCAAAAUAAUAUAGUUAGGAUUUUGCUAAAUAAAUUUACUCUGCAAGGAUCUACAAACGCUAACUAUAAAAAAUUUGGUGUAUUGCCUAUAAGGUUUUUAGAUAAAAAAAAAUUGCAAUAAUGUAUUUGGUUAAACAAAUUUAAUUUAAAUAAUGAUCGAAAAGAGGUAAGCAACAAAAGGGAAAUGAAAAAAUAUGAUUUGACUGUUAAAUAUGUGAAUACUUAUUUUGGUCAGCGUUUUGUAGACUAUCAGGGUCCAACAUAUUUCAACUUUAUGCCCUAUGACUUAAAAAAAAAAUACUUGGUAGUGAAAUUGUAAAUAUUAAAGAUCUAAUAUACAAAUAUUUAUUCUUUGAAUUAGACAAGGAUAUACGGUAAUAUAAACCAAUUUUAUUUCAUUAUUUUUUAUUUAUUUAUUUGCCUUUAACAUUGUUAUUUAGAAAAUAAGCUGGUUUAUAUAUUUUUUGAGUUGUUUCAAGAUGUAUUAAAUUUUUUUUUUUUGAAAUUAAAAUAUAUUUACACUAUGUUCUUAUUUAUAAUAUAUUUAAAUUUAGUAAUAAUCAUAGCUCCUUAUCUCCAACACAAGCUGCAUAAGCUUACAAAAGGUAAGUUAAUCAAUUCUGUAACAAAUUUAAUUUUGAUGUAUAUUAAAUGUUUUGUUUUUAAUAUCUUAAAAAAAAAAAAAAAAAAUUACUAAACUUAAUAUAAGCUUUUUGAUAUUACCCCUGAAAACUUCAUAAGGCCUUGUAUAGCAGAAAUAAAUAUUUAUUUCUAAUUACCCCACUGGGAGGUAAUAAAACAAUUAUUUGGAGCAACAAGAGAAUUU